GGAGAGCUUGCUCUCUGGAUCAGUGGCGAACGGGUUGAGUAACACGUGAGCAAUCUGCCCCUGACUCUGGGAUAAGCGUUGGAAACGACGUCUAAUACCGGAUACGAGCUGCGAAGGCAUCUUCAGCAGCUGGAAAGAACUUCGGUCAGGGAUGAGCUCGCGGCCUAUCAGCUAGUUGGUGAGGUAAUGGCUCACCAAGGCGUCGACGGGUAGCCGGCCUGAGAGGGUGACCGGCCACACUGGGACUGAGACACGGCCCNGACUCCUACGGGAGGCAGCAGUGGGGAAUAUUGCACAAUGGGCGCAAGCCUGAUGCAGCAACGCCGCGUGAGGGACGACGGCCUUCGGGUUGUAAACCUCUUUUAGCAGGGAAGAAGCGAAAGUGACGGUACCUGCAGAAAAAGCACCGGCUAACUACGUGCCAGCAGCCGCGGUAAUACGUAGGGUGCAAGCGUUAUCCGGAAUUAUUGGGCGUAAAGAGCUCGUAGGCGGUUUGUCGCGUCUGCUGUGAAAACCCGAGGCUCAACCUCGGGCCUGCAGUGGGUACGGGCAGACUAGAGUGCGGUAGGGGAGAUUGGAAUUCCUGGUGUAGC
rnacentral:rRNA from 1 species